AGAUUGAACGCUGGCGGCAUGCCUUACACAUGCAAGUCGAACGGCAGCACGGGGGCAACCCUGGUGGCGAGUGGCGAACGGGUGAGUAAUACAUCGGAACGUGUCCUGUAGUGGGGGAUAGCUCGGCGAAAGCCGGAUUAAUACCGCAUACGCUCUACGGAGGAAAGCGGGGGAUCUUCGGACCUCGCGCUAAAGGGGCGGCCGAUGGCAGAUUAGCUAGUUGGUGGGGUAAAGGCCUACCAAGGCGACGAUCUGUAGCUGGUCUGAGAGGACGACCAGCCACACUGGGACUGAGACACGGCCCAGACUCCUACGGGAGGCAGCAGUGGGGAAUUUUGGACAAUGGGGGCAACCCUGAUCCAGCAAUGCCGCGUGUGUGAAGAAGGCCUUCGGGUUGUAAAGCACUUUGUCUAGGGAAGAAAGGAUUCUACUAAUACUGGAGUCUGAUGACGGUACCUGAAGAAUAAGCACCGGCUAACUACGUGCCAGCAGCCGCGGU
rnacentral:rRNA from 1 species